rnacentral:rRNA from 1 species
UACGUAGGGGGCAAGCGUUGUCCGGAAUCAUUGGGCGUAAAGCGCGUGUAGGCGGCUCGAUAAGUCUGCUGUGAAAGUUCAGGGCUCAACCCUGAAAUGCCGGUGGAAACUGUCGAGCUAGAGUCCGGAAGAGGCGAGUGGAAUUCCUGGUGUAGCGGUGAAAUGCGCAGAUAUCAGGAGGAACACCAGUGGCGAAGGCAGCUCGCUGGGACGGUACUGACGCUGAGACGCGAAAGCGUGGGGAGCAAACAGG